GUUGAUCUGGUUCUUGUUCUGUAAUGAUCGCCAUGGGUGAUGGAGUUUGGGAGGGUUUUGAAAGGAGUUUGAUUUAUUCAUUUUGAGGCUUUAAAUUGAAAAAGUGAGAUCGAGGGGACAUCAUCAUUGCAUGGAGUGGAGAAACUUGAAAGCAUAUUCAGAGAAGACGACGGAGACGAAGGUGAUAGCAAAGGUGAAGAUGAAGGUGAAAGCGUAAUCGAAGGUGGAGAAAACGAGGGUGGUCUUGGUUAAUAUUAGUUACAUUGUUUUGAUUUUAGGAUUUAGGGUUUGUAAUGCUUUUUGGUGUAUUUUUCUGGAAGGUUUAAUCUUUUGUGGUAUCUCUCAUUUUAGGGUUUUCGCCCUUAGGUAAGAAUGAAUGAAUGGUUGUGUUUGAUUUUAGGGUUUAGGGUUCAUGAUGUUAUGUGUUGUUUUUGUUUCCCCUUAGCUAAUUUUACGUUUUCCUGGACUUAGGUAGAAAUGGAUGAAUACUUGUGUUUGAAAACUCAUCAUGGUGGUGAAUUUAUAGACAAUGAACAAACUGUGUAUGAAGGAGGAAAAUGAGAAGAAUUAAAAAUUGAUAUGGAUAGGUGGAGUUACUGUGAGUUGGUAGGUGUACUGAAGGAACUAUGUUAUAUUAAGGUAUAUACCAUUUAAUAUAAUGACCCCACCUUUGGGAUGAAUGUCUUAAA